GACGAACGCUGGCGGCGUGCCUAAUACAUGCGAGUAGAACGCUGAAGAGAGGAGCUUGCUCUUCUUGGAUGAGUUGCGAACGGGUGAGUAACGCGUAGGUAACCUGCCUUGUAGCGGGGGAUAACUAUUGGAAACGAUAGCUAAUACCGCAUAACAAUGGAUGACACAUGUCAUUUAUUUGAAAGGGGCAAUUGCUCCACUACAAGAUGGACCUGCGUUGUAUUAGCUAGUAGGUGAGGUAAUGGCUCACCUAGGCGACGAUACAUAGCCGGCCUGAGAGGGUGAUCGGCCACACUGGGACUGAGACACGGCCCAGACUCCUACGGGAGGCAGCAGUAGGGAAUCUUCGGCAAUGGGGGCAACCCUGACCGAGCAACGCCGCGUGAGUGAAGAAGGGUUUCGGAUCGUAAAGCUCUGUUGUAAGUCAAGAACGGGGGUGAGAGUGGAAAGUUCACACUGUGACGGUAGCUUACCAGAAAGGGACGGCUAACUACGUG
rnacentral:rRNA from 1 species